UACGUAGGGGGCUAGCGUUGUCCGGAAUCAUUGGGCGUAAAGCGCGUGUAGGCGGUUCGGUAAGUCCGCUGUGAAAGUCGAGGGCUCAACCCUCGAAAGCCGGUGGAUACUGUCGGGCUAGAGUGCGGAAGAGGCGAGUGGAAUUCCUGGUGUAGCGGUGAAAUGCGCAGAUAUCAGGAGGAACACCGGCGGUGUAGACGGCUUUCUGGACCGUAGCUGACGCUGAGACACGAAAGCGUGGGUAGCAAACAGG
rnacentral:rRNA from 1 species